CCCGCCACAGCAUAGCACACGGUUCAUUUUGUUAACCCUGUACACAUCUUAACUUUCACUUGGAUUUCUACAGUUUAUUUUCUUGAAGGUCAUGGAAGGAAUAGACGUCUAUAAUUUUCACGAGGAAGAGGCCAUUUCAAAGUCAGAAGAUAGAGGAAAACAUUUUACCAUUCCCUUUACCUACCACUAGCAUUGAAACUCCUCCUCCAGUAGAGAAUACUAUUGAGAACAAAAGC